rnacentral:rRNA from 1 species
UGGGCUUGACAUGCCGCGAGUAGGAACCUGAAAGGGGACCGACCGGUUCAGUCCGGAAGCGGAAC